AUACGUAGGUGGCAAGCGUUGUCCGGAAUUAUUGGGCGUAAAGCGCAUGUAGGCGGUUUGGUAAGUCGGUCGUGAAAAUGCGGGGCUUAACGCCGUAUGGCGAUUGAAACUGCUGAACUUGAGUGCAGGAGAGGAAAGGGGAACUCCCAGUGUAGCGGUGAAAUGCGUAGAUAUUGGGAAGAACACCGGUGGCGAAGGCGCCUUUCUGGACUGUGUCUGACGCUCAGAUGCGAAAGCCAGGGUAGCGAACGGGAUUAGAUACCCCGGUAGUCCUGGCCGUAAACGAUGGGUACUAGGUGUGGGAGGUAUCGACUCCUUCCGUGCCGGAGUUAACGCAAUAAGUACCCCGCCUGGGGAGUACGGCCGCAAGGCUUAAACUCAAAGGAAUUGACGGGG
rnacentral:rRNA from 1 species